AACGAACGCUGGCGCCAGGCUUAACACAUUCAACUCGAACGAGAUCCUCGGAUCUAUUGGUAGACGGGAGAGGAACACGUGAGAACAUCGCUUUCAGUUCGGAACAACGCUGGGCAACUACAGCUAAGACCGCAUACGUCCUUCGGGAGAAAGAUUUAUCGCUGAAAGAUUGGCCCGCGUCGGAUUAGCUAGUUGGUGACGUACUGGCUCACCAAGGCUCCGAUCAGUAGCGGAUCUGAUAGGGUGAUCAGCCACAUUAGGACUGAGACACGGCCCAAACUCCUACGAGAGGCAGCAUUGGGGAAUAUUAGACAAUUGGCGCAAGCCUGAUCCAGCCUUGCCGCGUGGUUGAUGACGGCCUUCGGGUUGUAAAGCUCUUUUGUCCGUGAAGAUAAUGACUGUACCGGAAGAAUAAGCCCCGGCAAACUCCGUGCCAGCAGCCGCCGUAA
rnacentral:rRNA from 1 species